GGAGGAGGAGAAGGAGGAGGAGGAGGAGAUGGAGAAGGAGAAGGAGAUGAAGGAGGAGAAGGAGAAGGAGAAGGAGAAGGAGAAGGAGGAGAAAAGACUGGAACUAUAAGAGGAAGAAUCCCGUGGUGUGAAGAAGAUCAUCAUAGGCCUCAAGAUUAUGGGCACAAUUCUAAAAUCCUAAGCAUCAGAAAGAAAAAUUCUCAGCACAGAAAGUUAAGCAUCAUUGUACCUUCUAAGUGCUAAGGACUGUCUUUGUACUGAGUUUUUACUCUAUAUGCACUGUUCUUGGCGUGUCCAUGUACUUCUCU
rnacentral:lncRNA from 1 species